AACGAACGCUGGCGGCAUGCCUAACACAUGCAAGUCGAACGAGACCUUCGGGUCUAGUGGCGCACGGGUGCGUAACGCGUGGGAACCUGCCCUUAGGUUCGGAAUAACUCCCCGAAAGGGGUGCUAAUACCGGAUAAUGUCUUCGGACCAAAGAUUUAUCGCCUUUGGAUGGGCCCGCGUUGGAUUAGCUAGUUGGUAGGGUAAAAGCCUACCAAGGCGACGAUCCAUAGCUGGUCUGAGAGGAUGAUCAGUCACACUGGGACUGAGACACGGCCCAGACCCCUACGGGAGGCAGCAGGGGGGAAUAUUGGACAAUGGGCGAAAGCCUGCCCCAGCAAUGCCGGGUGAGUGAUGAAGGCUUUAGGGUUUUAAAGCUCUUUUACCCGGGAUGAUAAUGACAGUACCGGGAAAAUAAGCCCCGGCAAACUCCGU
rnacentral:rRNA from 1 species